UUCUAACCAUAAACGAUGCUGACCAGCGAUCCGCCUGAGUUUCUCAAUUGACUCGGCGGGCAGCUUCCGGGAAACCAAAGUUUNUGAGUUCCGGGGGAAGUAUGGUUGCAAAGCUGAAACUUAAAGGAAUUGACGGAAGGGCACCACCAGGAGUGGAGCCUGCGGCUUAAUUUGACUCAACACGGGAAAACUUACCCGGCCCGGACACCGGAAGGAUUGACAGAUUAAGAGCUCUUUCUUGAUUCGGUGGGUGGUGGUGCAUGGCCGU
rnacentral:rRNA from 1 species